GACGAACGCUGGCGGCGUGCUUAACACAUGCAAGUCGAACGGAAAGGCCCUGCUUUUGUGGGGUGCUCGAGUGGCGAACGGGUGAGUAACACGUGAGUAACCUGCCCUUGACUUUGGGAUAACUUCAGGAAACUGGGGCUAAUACCGGAUAGGAGCUCCUGCUGCAUGGUGGGGUUGGAAAGUUUCGGCGGUUGGGGAUGGACUCGCGGCUUAUCAGCUUGUUGGUGGGGUAGUGGCUUACCAAGGCUUUGACGGGUAGCCGGCCUGAGAGGGUGACCGGCCACAUUGGGACUGAGAUACGGCCCAGACUCCUACGGGAGGCAGCAGUGGGGAAUAUUGCACAAUGGGCGGAAGCCUGAUGCAGCAACGCCGCGUGCGGGAUGACGGCCUUCGGGUUGUAAACCACUUUCGCCUGUGACGAAGCGUGAGUGACGGUAAUGGGUAAAGAAGCACCGGCUAACUACGUG
rnacentral:rRNA from 1 species